rnacentral:tRNA from 1 species
GGGGCCGGAGGAUGAUGGUAGUCCACCGCAGAUUUGAGACCUCGGAAGACUGGGUUCGAUCCCCAGCGGCUCCA